rnacentral:rRNA from 1 species
AUGCAAUAUGACAUAAUUUUGACAUAUUAUGCAUGCAAAACGGAUCUAUAUGCAUGCAAAUCAAUAUCAUGGCGUCGAGGAACGCACUUUCUUUGUAAGUUUAAUACGUCUUUUUUCCCUUCUUUCUUCGGAAGAGGUUAUAUGUUGGCAAGAGCCUCACUCUCUCACCUUGUUCCCGCUGGAUGCACACACAUGCGCAGGCAAGCUGCUCCAGCGAAUGGACAGAAUCAAAAACAGAGGAGGAGCAGAGCAGCACACACAUGUUUGUUUUACAGGCAACGAAUGGCUUCCGGCUCUGCUCUUUUGAUGUCCUGUUAG